AGUUUGAGCUGCCACGUGAGUACAGAAACCGGUUCUUACACGUAGAUGAACUACGGGAAUGGAGAAGAUAUCGUGACUGGCUCAGGUUCUGGACACAAAUCUCCCUAUUUGCUCUGAUUGCUUUCAGUAUAGCAUCAUUUUGCUCCCGUCAGCUGGUGGCAUUACGGAGGCGUUGCUGUCCAAGGCGCCGCACGAAAAUGAGUGAAGUUGCGGAAAAGGUUCAGCAUGUAUGACUAACCAAAAAGAAAGACUCGUAAAAAAAGAACUAAAAAACCUGUACAGUGCUUGUCCGUGCCAUCAAAUGGUAGCGGU